rnacentral:rRNA from 1 species
ACGACCAGUCACACGGGCANUGAGACACGGGCCCGACUCCUACGGGAGGCAGCAGUAAGGAAUAUUGGUCAAUGGACGCNAGUCUGAACCAGCCAUGCCGCGUGAAGGAUGAAGGUCCUCUGGAUUGUAAACUUCUUUUAUAGGGGACGAAAAAAGGGAAUUCUUUCUCACUUGACGGUACCCUAGGAAUAAGCACCGGCUAACUCCGUGCCAGCAGCCGCGGUAAUACGGAGGGUGCAAGCGUUAUCCGGAUUUACUGGGUUUAAAGGGUGCGUAGGUGGGUCUGUAAGUCAGUGGUGAAAUCUCCGGGCUUAACCCGGAAACUGCCAUUGGUACUAUAGGUCUUGAAUACUCUGGAGGUAAGCGGAAUAUGUCAUGUAGCGGUGAAAUGCUUAGAUAUGACAUAGAACACCAAUUGCGAAGGCAGCUUACUACGGGGUCAUUGACACUGAGGCACGAAAGCGUGGGGAUCAAACAGGAUUAGAUACCCUGGUAGUCCACGCCCUAAACGAUGGAUACUCGACAUCAGCGAUACACUGUUGGUGUCUGAGCGAAGGCAUUAAGUAUCCCACCUGGGAAGUACGAUCGCAAGAUUGAAACUCAAAGNAA